CGCACAUUGCGCCCAUUAGUAUUCUAGUGGGCAUGCCUGUUCGAGCGUCAUUUCAACCCUUAAGCCUAGCUUAGUGUUGGGAAUCUACUGUACUGUAGUUCCUUAAAGACAGUGGCGGAGCGAUAGUUGUCCUCUGAGCGUAGUAAUCUUUAUUCUCGCUUCUGUUAGGCUCUAUCUUCUCGCCAUAAAACCCCCAAUUUUUUAGUGGUUGACCUCGGAUCAGGUAGGAAUACCCGCUGAACUUAA
rnacentral:misc_RNA from 1 species